rnacentral:lncRNA from 1 species
UACUGGCGAGCAAUAUCCUAUUUAUUUGUUUGAUUAUCCCUUGACCGAAAGAAGAAAUGAAAUUCACAUAUGAGACGGAUGAAAUAGCUACUAGCUACGGAUCCUACCGCCGAGCUGUCAACAGCUAACAAGGGUCACUACGGACAGCUAACAACUGCUUUGCUACUACUGGCUCACUCUGAACGAGAUUCCGAUCCCCUUUCUCGUGAGCAAAGCCUUCGAUUCCUUGGGUCGAGCCUACUUAAUUUCCUGGGGACCGCGAGAGAAGGUCUUAGUCUGAAUCUGGAUCUCUAUCUCUAGUGGUAAGAGAUGCCGGGGCAAGCCGCAGGUUCUGAUGCUGGGCAUGGGUAUCGAUCACGAUCUGGAGAUGGAACUGCUGCUCUAGGUACCCUUGCUUCUACUCCAACGGGAUCAAUGACUGGACUUGGAUCUACUAGUGAAGCUACUCGGUCUCGAUCUGGUCUUCACCUGGAACAACUUUCACAUCUACUGGGACAGGACCAAGCAUCCUCAACUACUUAGCAACUGAUGAUCAAACAACCAUUUUGUAUAGAGCUUCUCACGUAGUGCUCUUUACUUCUUAGAAGUAGCUUCCUCUGCGGGUCGCCUCGUAGGCUGCCUACCCCACCAACCUACCGAGACCUUCCCUUUUGGUUUUGGACCCCAUGACCUCAACAACGAGAAUCGCCUCAUGGAACAGGCCUCGCGUCCCUCCACAGGAUGCAUUCUUUUCCCUUCAGGGGUCUGCUAACUAAUGGAACCUUUUACUUUCCGCUCACUAUAAGGCAAGCAAAUGAAUCGUCUCGGGGAUGACUACUUUGCUCUUCCUAUCCUAGCCCUAUGAGACCUUACAUGCUGGUUUCUAGUCUUCUCCACCGGAGGUAACAGUUUGCAGUCAAAACUGUAACGGUUGUUGGUGUCUGCUCAUAGCUUCUUGUUCCUCAAUCUAAUUGAUCGCAUAUAUAACUCCGAUCACCUAUCAGUACCAGGCUUGGUAUCGGACCGUACAACCAAGCGGUGCUACUCCACCAAGGAGGAAUCGGUACCGGCAGCAUAAAACCAUGCAAAAACAUCUCUGUAUUCAGCGGUAAGAACAGCUUUUUUCUCGUCUGAAGAUUGCAGCCCUCAGCUGAGUAAGAUGGGGGGCUGUCCUCAACCGACCUGAUCGUCCCAAUCCUCACUAAAAACAGACAGAUCUCAUAUCUUUACUGAAUACGCCUUUCGCUGUUGGAGGAGCACAUUCUACCGUAUCAACGGGAUUAAAGCAUGGCGGUAGCGGUAUCCUAUAUAUGGUUGGUAUGGUACCGGAACUGGGUAUCCCAGCUUUUCAUGAAAUCGAAGCAAAAGAACUCGUUCGUUAGCGGUUACAAUAGAAACCGUACUAUAAUCAACCCAUAUAAGCACAAAGGGCUCUCUAAUCGCAGUCCCGCUUCCCAGAGGAACAUAGAGUUCCGAUCGCAUCUAUUAGUAUAGGAGGGAUGCCUGCCGUUCCUCCAUUAUAGUAUGAAAAAAAACUCUCUCAAGCCAUAGCCUCUUGAUCAUAUCUAUCGAACUGAUCACGGGAAUGCUGGUUCAAGGUCAAGGUUUGGACCUCCACUCCGAAAUACAGUCUUCGAUCGAAAUUCAAAGGCAUUGCUGGCACAUACCUAAAGAUCAAAGACAAAGACUUCAACAACCGCUCGUGCAUCCAUCUAGCUAGAUUCAUCUGGAAUGAAGGAGUAAGCCCCUAAGAGGUUAGACGCCGAAUCAUGAUAAGCAAGUCGACCCCCCUCAGUGACAGUAGGAAUUUGUCUGCUAAAAGGCAAAUUGCCUUGCCUAUCUUUGGUUAAAGCUCCCCCUGCCUGUCCGAGAUCCUAAGAGGUUGGUCGCAGGUUUGUUCGGGACUUUUAGAAACGACUGCAAGCCUGCCUGGGAAUAAAAGAAGUGAUCGUUAACGACGGCUUUCGGGAGGUUCCACCCACCGGUCUAUUAUUUUUGAGAUUCAACGACUGGGAGAGCUUCUUUUCUGCCUUUUAACGGUACGCUUUUCUGCCUAAGUCACUAGCUUAGCCGCUUUUUACUCGUCAAAGUACGCUUAUUAUUCCCUAGCCUCCCUAGCCGAUUAGCUCCUAACCUAUGAGCGCCCACAAUGAACUUCAAUUGUCCCAGUGGAUCAAACAACCCCACUGUUUCUGGCAUUGGACCAACUACUACAACGUAUAAUGGUUCAACAGCCUUAGAAUGAGAAGUCGAUCUAACUCCCACUUGAACGGGAACAGUCUCUCUCACCNAAGUAAGUUCCGGGUCCUUGAUACAGAACACUUGUUAUCCGUGGAAAGACCACGCUAGGGCCUAAGUGCUAUAACUGGUGAGCUGCCCGAUUUCUGUAUCAGCAAAGGACCCACCUUGUCCAGUAACCAUUCUGAGAGGGUGUACGAGACUUAGCGAAACUGACUUGGCCGUCAAUCACACACAAAAAGGCGGAUCAGUACAAGACGGCGGACAUUGGUGGCUGUAAGUCAGAAGUAGGGUACCGAUACUGCAGCGAUCGCUCGGUAGUAGGUGGCUACUAUCGCCAUGAGAAAAUAAUGGUCAAAGGCAUGUCGGGUGAAGAAGGUGGCUCCAUACCGGGGAAUUGGGAUUCUAACAAUAAGGAAUGGUUCGGUUUUUCAGUAGAGUCCUAUUCUAUUCCUGACGAAGGAAUAGAGUAAGGACUUGGAAGUUCGAGCAGAGAGCAGAAACAGAAUAUGACCUUCCCCAGGAGGGGUAAGAAGAGAGCUUCUUAUAUGCGUUCGUGCUCCACACCCGUGGAGCGCUUCACUCGCUUCAGCUUCUUAUAAGACUCUUUUCUUCCCUAUCCUUUCGAGGAGGGAAAUUUUAUUUCGUAAGGUUCGCUUAGCGCAGGCGAGUCCCAAGCAAGUACUAGUUUAUACUAUCUAUAGCAGCCAAGAGUUCACAUCUGGUCAGUCUUUUCGACAACUUUGACUGUUAGGAGGAUCCCUCAACUCUUUAUCUUUCUCUUUCAUGUUUAACCCCAUGACAUUCCAGACUACAGCCUUCAUGAGACAGUCUUAGUGAUGGAAUCUUUACUCGCCUUUGGGCAUUCCCCUAGUUGCUUUGGCCGGACCACCUUUAUCAGGUUUUGAUUUGCCUUUUCCUUUGCUUCUGCUUUCUGGCUUUCUGGAUGAUUAGAGAUCUUACUAGCAAAAGGGAGAAAAGCUUACCUUAGUUACGGUUAAGUCAUCACUUCGGCUAGUUCGUAAAAGAGCAAGGAAGCACUAGUCCGAGUACACGAAGACGCUGCCCUAUCUAUCUUAUCUUUCUCCUCUCGAGAACGGUAACAAGCAGACGUAGCACACGCACUUUACUAAUAGCGGGAAUCACAGACCAGCCCUACAGUUCCUCUCUUUCGAGAGUCGAAAUAGGAUUGGGAACAAUAGGAAUGUCACCAUCCUUAUACAAUUGAUAACAAGCGAUCGGACUCAAAAUUGGGUACUAGUCACAUUCCUAGCGAGGCAUGACAGAACCUAAGUCUUUACCAAUGAAACAUGGAUUUUUUCCAAUGCCAAUGAGUCCUUUUAGUCUCCUCCGUCAUGAAGACUCAACUAAGGCAACUCACUAUUGCCACCCGGGGCGCCUUCACCGACUCAGGACAGGAGCUCAGCAUCGUGCGGUUCACCCAAAAUGCGCAUGUGCCUUAUCUCUCCCCCAACGACUGUGUAACGGAGCCACCGCCUACUUACUCGGGGUUGGAAUGGUAUAAAUAAGGUUAUGCUGGGGGUUGUAUACGAUACGGUGGUUUCAGUGAUAAUAAAAGCAGUACGGUUCUAGCAAGCAAGUAAGCCAAUCAGUGCUGCUGUUCUGUUCCUCAAGGUGGUUCAAUCCCACCCGAUAAAGGCAUAGGCGGCGAUACAGUGAUAGAAAGUCCUUCCUUCAGUCCCUCAUCAGGCCUUCAUUCAGGCUAACGGUUGGCAUUUCAAUUAGUAAUUCCUCGAGCUAAGUAGGUAGGGAAGGCUAUCGCAUCGGUAUCCAACUGGAUGUUAAGCGGGUCCAUCCACUCGAGCGAGGAAUAGGCCCCCGCGGAGGGAAACGUUCCUAACCCAAGAAGCAAGUGGAUAAGACUAGCUCUAGCACUAACGCUCGCUCUUGCAAGUGACCGACGUGCUUCCCGAUGAGGCGAAGCACGAGGGAACGUAAGAGAACGUAGCUGUAGAAAGCAGUAGCAGGAAGGCUGGCCCCCUAACUUAAGAGUUUGCGGGAAGAGACAAGAACUUAUUCUAUAGCAUUUUCAAUAGUAGCCCUUCUUCCUUCACUUCAACGGCAGCAGCAGGGGAUAUUGCCGUUCUAUAAUAUAUAAGAUAAUAUCGGAGUCGAAGGCAAAAGAUUCAAUUCUUCCGAACCUGGCAUUAUCAGAGAAAAAAGAGUAGAAUUUAGCUUACGCCCUUGGCUACUCUACUACGCUAUGAAAAGCACCAACAGUGAUAAGGCCUCCAAGUGCAGCGACAGGGUCGACAUCUCUAUAUGUUGAUAGAUACCCGCGAGAGUCACUCGCUUCUUUAAGCCUGGAAGUGAAGGAACUAUCUUCUCUUGAGCCAGGUAUUUCUUGAUUGAAGAUGUCAUUUGCUACGAUUCCGAACCGCUGCGCACCUGUCCUCUUUCUUUAGCGAGAAGGAAUUGAGGUAGCACCUCCAGUAUGAUUCUGAGGUCUUCGAGGUCCUAUCCGAAAUUCCCUUUUUAAAGGGAAGGGCACCCAGUGGUUGGAGGAAUCUCCGGAACAGCUUCUGGGCUUAACCAACCAGAGCAAAUAGAGGAUGUAUUGACUGAAAGAAUGCAUGUGAACUUCACUAAGACAUAAACUUACCGUCCAAGCAUCAUUAGGGUGGCCUGAGGAUUGGUUCCUGGUGAUACACCAAACACUGAUCCAUCCACACACAAAGUGAACCAAUUCCAAUGACCCUAAGAUCACGAUCAACACCCUCCCCACCACGCAGCCCCAUGGUAGUGCCAUAUGGUGCUUACCGUCGGCGGCAGAAUCCGCCAUCUGAACAUAGUUUGUUUGGUCAAUAGGCAAUGCAGGCCCUACAAAUCUGAAGUCUUGACCCCUAACCAGUUCCUGAACUUGAAUCAUUCAUGCCUGUUUCUGAGCACAUCCCCUAUCUUUCUUGUGCCAUUCACACAGCGUUCACAUCAACUGGGUUGUGGAAGUAAUUGAAUCUGACAAUAGGAUUGAGCUUGACAUCUGUUGAAGCCAGUCUAAGAAACACUCGAGACUGGCCCUGCAAUCUUCUCAAUGAGGGUAGCACUGUGAGGUAAAGAGGUGAGGAUGGUGUACGGAUGAACACAGAAUGAGCAGGGGAUGCAAAAGGAAUGACAUUUGAUGCUGCUUGCUUCUAUGUAAGCCCCUCAAUCUGUAUCCCCACAAACUUGUAUCAGUGAGUGCUCAAAAUUGAGGGGACAAUAGGAAUACCAUUCCGAUGGGAAGUCGCUGGCGUUGAACACGACUUCAGGUACUUGGGUCUGAGCAAAGGAAAAGGAUAAAGAAUCGUUUAAUGCCAGUAAAAGAAAAGAAGAAGGUUGUCGAGGACUACCCUAAGCUACAAGUAGGCAGAACUUUCAGUUACAAUGUCUAGGUUGGGAAAGCCGCCUUUCUAAAGCCAAUCGAUUAUCGGAUUUCACCAACCAACUACCACUACCAGGGGAUUCCUAGAUCCGCUCUCAGAUCGCAUUAAGAUUCCAAACGGAAUGAAAGCAGGAAAUUGAUUAGCUAAAGAUUCCAACGGAAUGAAGCAGGAAAUUGAUUAGCUAUAGUAGCUGCAACAAAUCUCGUGACGGUGAUCAAACAGCAUUAGCUACGUCUCGUCUCUUGACGAGUACUGACCCCUUAUAAACAGAUCGAAAGGUUACGAUUCACUCCGGUGCUGCUUGCUGGUGGAGCUUGGGAGUAUCUCAAUCUCAACUAUGAAUAAGAAGUCGAAGAAGUAAGACUCCCUAGAUCUGCCUCUGACUUACCUACCUUCCCUGACUAGCUAGUUUGGUUGGUAUCUAUGGAUACCUCCUUUUCAGCUCAUACAUAAAGUCCAUCCUUGAGUUCGCUGCUAAACGAAGACGGGAAGGAUAGCUGAGGGGGGCAAAAGAUCGAUUCGGUUUGGACGCUCAUCUCAGACAGCUGGUAAGGCGGACAGAGACCGUUUCAUAGUCAUAAAAUUGGGAACUCCUAUCCCGAGGUAAGAAAGAAUAGACGACCUACUAAAGACAGAUCGUCAAAUGGCGACGUAUAUAAAGAAGUGGCCGGUUCCUCACAAACUGAAUUCCUUUCUCGAGUUGCUGUUUGCCGAAGCUGAGCUUGAAGAGCUUGUUCCUCCACUCUUGCUGCUUUCUUUGCUAUUGCUUCUGUUGAAUGUAAGAGGGAUGAAGGGCGAGUACAGUCUCUUGAUCCUCUAUACCUGCCCGACUUGGGCAUUUAGCUACGAGAAUAACUCAUCCCCUUUGAUCCCGCUCGAGUGGGAAUAUAGGAAGCUAAGGAGCUAGGUGAAUACCCGAUGAGACCCUUCUUUAACCCGACCUGAAAAGGAAGAGUUUGAUUUCACUCUUUCACCUCUUAAACUCGUUUCAAGCGGCAUUCAUCUUAGCAAGACUAUUCUUAUCUUCAGUCUUCAGACUCCCUUCUGUCGCUCGACAUAACUACACUAUCCGGAAUUAUCCUAUAUCAGGAGCUACAUAUGCUCUGCCCUUUCGCUUUCCGACCCCUCUUUCUCCGUUGAAGCAUUCCCAGAUACCACCAACUUGGUUCUUGUUAUCUCCUUCCUCCCCAUGCGUGAAGACAAGGUCUGAGUUCACUUUCUAUUGAGCCUACUCCUUUUUACCUUCUUUGACUGGGACGACGUGACACGCAAUGGAUCGCUUAGAAAGGAGAACAAAUGGAUCACAUGUCCCCUUCUCAAAAGCCUUGGGUUGACCAAGGAUAGGAAAUCGAAUAGAUUUUGGGGCAUUCUGACCAUCUCCGUUAUUCUCCCCUUUAAGUAAGGAUUGAGAGGUCCCCGCCUACCAGCCACCACUCAAAGGAUAACAGAGAUCCGGAACGAAAAGUAAAUCAAAAGUCUCUUACAACUUUUACCAAGGUGGUUUACUUGCUUACUUGUUAGAGAGAAGAGGAUGUUUGUGUAUGGAUGGAACUAAGAGCUUAGGGGGAAGAGGUAGGACUAGACAAACAAGCCAGCCAUUCGCCCUAUGUAAACUAGAGUAUGGAAGUGGAACUCAAUCCAGUCUGCUCUGCUCUCAUCCAGCAAGCUCUCUAACACUAACUAGUACUAACCUCUCUUUAGCCUAUCUGUCCUCUUCGCUACCUCUCAACAGUAAACUAGUCGCUUAGCUUUCUAACAAAGCAAGUAGCUAGCGUAUCUCUUCCCUCUUCGAGCCAACCGUUCACUUCCUCUAACGAGCGAGGAAACUUCGUUCACCACUUACUACGUUCUUUCAAAACCUUAGAUUCCCUCAAAGCAAAGGUGUGGAGUAGCGCUAGCUAACAAGUAAACGAGUAAAUAUUGCGUAAGUAAAGGGAAUGCUGUUGGCAUCUUCGAGCCAAGCUGGAGUUCUUGGUCGAGUAAGCCGGGUUACUAAUCAGUCUUCUCAUCUCUAAGACACCUAAUUCCUAACAAACUACGCACCUUCUUGUACUUCCAGCCAAGUAAGGCAAACCAGUUGCUGUUGUUGAGUUGAACAAACAGUAGUCAGAUAAUAGGCGGAUGGAAGAAAGAAAAGGGCAGCCCUUGCUUAGUUUGGCAAGCUCCUUCCUUUGUUGAGCUCUGUCAUACCGCUCUUCUAUCUCUUUCAUUGGCGCAAUCUUCUUUGAAUUCAAUAAAUAAUUGCGAUUUACUUUUAUGAAAGAUAUCUCCUCCUUUAAUCUAAUCAGUAUAUUACUUAUGAGUAAGGAACUCUCCGAAAGGAAGGGAAGGUAAACAGGAGUUAACGGCAGGCGCAAUAGAAAGGCAGUUGGAGACAGGCGAUAGGCUUAGAUCAGAUGCAAAGCAAGCUCAGUCUCAAUAUGCGCAUUAGAGAAGGGGGGUUGGCGCUUCGGUCAAGAGGCUAGCUAGUGUCCCACCUUCCUGUCUUGACUGGUAGGCACAAUCCCUUGAGUCUAGUUCUUGAGCGAAGGAAUCGCUUUCAAUGACAAUUUCUCUUUAGAAAUCAGCCCUCUUCAAGCUGUCGAAUAUAGAUAGGAGAUCCACUUCAAGUUCAAGGCUGGCAACAAGCAUAAGUGCAAUCGCAAUCCCUAUGAAUAUCAUUAAUCAAUAUCUCUCCGGCCUCUAGCACUCUGUUAUGGCGCAAUCACUGACUCUAGUUCUGGAGUUCUAGGUCCUCUAGCUAUUAGUGCUGGUAGCUCUCCUUCUGGUAAUGCAUUAUAGGCUGUCUUCCUUCCACCUCUCUCUAUCGCCCUUCCUUCUUUUAGCAGCUCAUCUCGAAUCUUGAAUGUUUAGCGAAUCGAUCGUAAUUGGUCUGACCGCUCAAGGCUUAUCUCUCUAUUCCCUUUCUGGUCUCCGGUCAUUGGUAGAAAGCCUGUAAAUUGAAUUUCUCUCCUCUCCCACCUCUCCGGCUUGGGAAUACUUCUGGCUAUAUAUCUGUAGUCACAAUGCCAGUUCAAGCUAUCUUCUAGAUAGAGCAAGAUAAGUAUGCGCAAGUGCAGUAGUUCAAGGCAGGCAGGUAAGGGCAGGUAGUAAAGGCAAGCGCAUAGGCAGGGGAUAGGCAUUCAAUCACUAUCUUCAAAUAGCAUAUAUAAGAGAAAGAUGAUGAUGAUGCACGAGCCACUCUUUCUGAAAGUUAAAUAAAGGCAUCCCUUCUCAGAUCAAUUGUAUGGUGUAUGGUCGAUGUAUGAAGAGAAACAAAGGGUGGCAAGGUCAAAGACAAAGACCACGCCAAACAUUGAAAGUUGAGUUCUCGUGAUGUCUGCUGCUUCAAGCUCGGAAAUCCCACUACUGAAUUAUCUCCAUUUCCAGGUCUUCCUACUAAAAGAAUCCUAUUUAUAUAGGAUAAAGCAAAGCACAUAGGUCUAAUUGCGCAGUGUAUAAUCUUUCCUUUCAUCUUAUAUUCUCUUGCUUGAGCGGAUUAGCCUAUCGAUUGAUGGUCCUAGGCUAUCUGGUUGUAUUAUAGCUCGGGUAGGUAAGGUUCAAGUAGUAGUAAGGAGUAAGUAUACAUAUUUGAUAUUUCAUUCGUGAGUGUGUUAACACGAGAAGGGAGGUAGGCGGGUAUCGAUUCAAAGCUCGAGUACGUGGUCAAGUUCGUUCAUCAGAAGUCGUGGACAAGGAGAGAACUCGACAUCGUGCAAUUCCCAGCGAUCUGGUCAAUUUAUUUCCGCGAGACGCUGCUCUACUCUUUUGAUUUAGAUGCUUUUGAAACAGCUUAUUCUUCUUCGGACUCGAAUGCCCACGGAGCGGUAUUCUUUCAAACAGUUGCUAUUGCAUUUGGUCUCGCUAUGCUAGGCUAGCUUGAUUAAGAAUGCGCUUAAAGCUCUAGGGUUUGGUGAGGAGCACUAUUGCCCUGUCGUAUUGUUCCUUAUAACCCUAUGCCAAACUAAGGCACGGGGCUCUACUACGUCAUAUUUGGAAAAACUCUUAAUCUUAGCCUCACCCUUGCAUUUGCUUUCUUUCGCGAACGAAUCCAUCUUCUUAUAUGUGAAUGUCACUAUCAGAUCGUGAUUGGGAUCGUAACGACGAGCAGGACAACUAUGCCCUGUAUCAACGUUCAGUGUUCGCCACACCCGAAACAAGCAGCUUCACGUGCCCGCUCAUGCACGAGGGAUUAAACAUUUGUUAUAGAUGUUUGAUUUUCGAUUCAACAUCUGCCGGGCAAUUGAUCACCACAUGCAGUUCCGUAUCACGUGAAACUGAUGUGGUCAUUUUCAAAAAAAUGGCUGAGAUAUGCAAUCUGGAUUUCCUAUAUUGUGGCAGUCGGGAAAAGAAGGAAGGGAGGUUAGGUUGGUAUAGAGCAAAGCCAUGGCUUUGGAGCGCACUUAAAGCUACAAAGCAAAGAAGGCAAGGAUCGCACGUGGAAAAAGUAGGCCUCUAAGAGUAAGAGAGAGAGGCCUUGAUAGGACGGUAACAAGUCGGUGGGGAAGGGCCUGCUGAAUGGGGCAAAAGUCUUCCAAAUAGGAAAGUGAACGAUGCCUCGAUAUCUACCACAUUUAAAUGGAUCGGAUCUUGAGGCCCGAUCACAAGGUCAAGAAAAGGACUCCACUCAACCCUCCAUGUUGAUGGAGGUUGGAUUCUCUAUGUAAUGUAUAGUUAGCUUUAAUGCUAGCUUCACGGGUUGAUGUAAGUAGAGAAAGGCUAAUUCGCAAUAGAGAUAUUUAGACCUUGUCAACCAGGGUAUACAGAGCCCCUACUUUGUACAAGCUCUAGAUCAUGUUCUAAAUUUCCCCGGUAUGUAGAGAAUAUUCGUUUUGCUUUGGUUCCAUUUAUUUUUAUUUGGCAUUCAGCGUAAGAACUAAAUCUUCCUAUCGCUCAUCCUAUGGGAAAAGGGAAAAGAUCUGCAUCAACUGUGUUCGCAUCAAUUUAUUAGCUUGAAGGAUGUACUGGUAUACUCUUCUCGAGUCUAUCUCUUUUCAAUAGGAUUCUUAUCUUCCUGCUCUGUAAGAUGUGAAGAAAGUCCGAGAUUGGAACCUUGGAGGGAGGUCCUGUUUUUCUUGUUUAUGCUGCUUUUUUCUGGUUAUAUUGUUUACUAAGAGAGAGUCUGGUUGAAGGCGAUGCCAUAAAAGGGAAUGGAACGGAAACUUCCUAUAAGGAAAUAGGAAAUCGCUGUCACCGCGGGACUGAUGUAAAAGAAACUGGGCAAUGGAACUCCUGGAGCUUCUCUGUGCCUGUCUUAUCGCUUUAUCGAUUUGAAACUGAAAGCUUGAAGCUUCUUUGCUUUUGCCAUUUAUCUAUCUAGCUGGCUCGCUAACUGCUAGUCUUUUAUUGGAAUAACUGCUAGGUUUUAUCUUAUCCUAUGGGGAUAACUAAGAGGCCUAGUCUUCUUACUAGAUUCUAUAUUAGGACACUCUUGGGGAAAGAUCGUUAGCCCAACCCUAUACAAACAUAUCAAAAGAAAAGCUCUAUGCUGCCACUCUCCCCUAGCUUUCUUGUCCAUCCCUUUCGCUAGUGCUGAGUACUUAAACUGGGUCAAUAGGAAUUGUUACUCCUGCUACACUUCAAUAGGAUAAAUGGCACUUGCUGUAAAAAACUCCGGGUCCUCCCUUGCUUCUGUCUAUCAUAUCGGUUACUCGAGCCGUUAACAACCGAUUCUAUUUCAUAGCAAACAAGCCUUCUCCAACAGCCUAGGAUGAUUCAAUUUCUAAGAGCGCAUUCUGCCCAGAAAUCCAUUCGAUGUUUAUUAGAGUCUAGGAUGAAUAUUCUUAACUGACUUCACCACCACUAUAAUCUCAACCAGUGCAUUAGCUAAGGCCAGUAACAACUCGAAAUAACAUAAGAUAUAAGAUAAGGAAUAAGGAAAGAGACCCCACCGAAUUCUUGUCAAUUCUUCUUUUGGUGGACCUUCGUCCGUAGCGUAUAGUUUGUAGUCGGUCUUUGGCAGCCUUUGGGACGAAAUCCCCAUUUUUCUUGAUCGGGACUAGCCCACGUCAGGGAAUGUAAUUGUAGGUCACACUGAUAAUUGUUCACUGUCUUGCUAUCUGAACUUGAAGUGAAGAUUCUGUUUGUGUUCCGUUUACCGCACCGCGGGUAGAAGAUCUAAUAUUCAAGAAUUCGUUUUGAGUUCGUUCUUUUUCAUGUCUUGGUUCACAGUUUAUCUGAAUCAGACUAAGAGCUUGGCAUCAACAAAGCAAAGCAAGGCCCCAUUGAGCUUAGCCUAGAGCAGAUCGAAAAGUUCUCGCGAAGCCGGGAACCCUUUGCCGAAGAUCCUUCUCUUUCUCUGUGAAGAUAGACUGCUGUUUAUUGCUUUGCGUGUCAAGUGCGAGAUUGGUUGAGAACCCUUCGCCACAGUGCUUUCAAGCUCCGUUUGGGCGCCCGUGUACUAGGGUUAAGGUGGAAGAUCGAAACGAAAUGGAAGUCAGCCUAUUAAUUAUCUAAUUAUAACCCAUUCAAUUCAGGUUUACAACAAAACAACAAUAUCAUAAGAGAAGAAAGAUCGUAGCGUAGAAAGAUUACCUCUUCCUUCCUUUCUUCAUCCUAGCACUAUGAGAUGAGAUUGAUCGUUUUUUUUCUUCUUCAUUUUUUUUCCGGUAUGCCGCUCCGCGAGCAAGCAAGGAGCGAGAGAAUAAAGUGGGCUGUGGUGAUGUUAGAAUUUGCACCUAUUUGUAUCUAUUUAGUGAUUAGUCUGCUAGUUUUUUUGAUCUUACGCGGGUUUGGUUCCAUGGGUUUGAGAAUUUCUCUAUUGUUCAUCACUCUGGUUUUGUUUUUUUAUUGGCUUUGUGAAACACUUGAAAUUGGAUCGUAUUUCGUUUGGCUUCUCUCCAAAGUAGGACUCCAUUUUUGGGUGCGCGUCCUUUGCCAGUUAUGCAUAAAACUGGGCUUUGGUGGGGGUCUGACCUUCGCCCUUGGGUUUAAAAGCAUUUCUAAGUAGCGAAUCCGCGUCUUUCUUUGAAAUGCGGGUUUCGCCUACUGGGCGGAAGCCGGCGUAAACCAACCUCCGGAAGGGCAUGAAGCCGGCCCUUCUAAUGUGGCCCCCGCGGACUCUCCUCUGGGGUCUUUUCCCUCAAUUCCCUCCUCUUUUACACCUAUACCAACCGAUCCUUCAAUCCCCUCUGUACCUUCACUCCCCUCCUUAGAGGAAAAUAACCUUUUUGAGAGGGAACAGUCGGUUGAAGGGCCAGCGCCACAGCAGGGGCCUCAAAUUCAAAUCCUCCCCUGUUCAGCAUGAGGAAUGGCUAGGGGAGGGAUGACCCAUUGGAUUCCAUUUUUGGGAAUGACCGUAGGCGCAGGACCCAAUUUGAAGUGGGUUACUUUCUAUCCUCUUUUGGGGUUCGGAGUUCUUCCAGGGACUUCACAGAUAGGGUUGGGGAAGAACUAGGGCUCCAGACGGCUUCCGAGCCGGAGCUGGAGCAAAUUCGGAUCUUUAUCCGACAACUUUCCCAACCCGAUGGAAGGCCCGCCUCCGCGCGGGAUGCCGCCGCCAUUCUAACGACCAGGUUCGAAGAAUGGAAGAGGGACAACCACUAAGUUAGGCCCCAGAGCCCACUAAUUCUAGUGCUUCCAAACGCCAGGUAGAUGCUACAUAGUUGGUUCUGGUUCUCAUCCUUCAGAGACUACGAGUGUAAUAGGAGCAUCCGUCGACAAAAGGAUCACCCUAAGAUGAGCAUCUCAUGGCUAUUGAGAACGAAUCAAAUCAGAUGGUUCUAUUUCUCAAUCUUUCUGACUUGCUCCUACGGAACCAAGGUCGAAAAGAUUGAGAAAAAUAGGUCAUUCACAACCACUGAUAAAGGAUUCCUCGAAAAGUUAAGGAUGAGUAAUCCUUUUUAGAAAUCGAAUGGGUUCGAUCUUAUCUUAUACAUACGCGAGGAAGGUAAUCAAAAAAGAAAGAAGACGUAAUGAGGGCCGGAAAAUCUUCUUAUAAUGGGAUAAAAGAAUAAUAGGAUGCUUAAGCCAAUAAGAUAGAUAAAGCAUACCCCUCGUAAAAAAAACUAUGUCACUUCCUUCCCAGCGUUCAGUGGAACGUGAGGCACUCUUUAUUGGCUUUCAGGCAAUGGAAGGGGCUAUUCCCACUACGCGCUAACUAGAAGAGCUGGAAAGAAGUAUGUAAGUUUCUGCCCUUCUUCGUCUCCACCCCUAUUCUCUGUGCGUCGGUGUGGCUAUCUUCUCCUAUGGAUUCUUUCCUUAAAAGGAAUUUUUUCUAUUUUAUUCUUUCUUCGGGAUUCAACGGCAAAAAGUCGACGUGAGGCACUAUUCCCACAGCAGCAGGUUGGAUUCUCCAACUUUUGCAAAUGAACCCCGUUCAAGUUCCAUCCCAACUGUCUCAUCUUGAGAAAAGGCAAUCCUCUACAGGAAGGGCCAAUGGCUACGUCCGUCGGUUCGUCUACCCGGACACCGUGCACUCCCGCAGCAUCCCAUAAUUACAUAUUAUGGUUGAGUCUAAACUGUUGCGCUCACUUAGUUAGGGCUUAGUCUCGACGGGAACCUCCCAUCUUGGGUAAGGGGCUCACUCCAUCGCCCUACUAGUCUCACUCUCCCCCUACGCUUUUGUGGGCUUCGGGAGCUCUGUCUUCUCCCCUUUCCCUUUGCUUUGGCUUUUUGCCUUAUCUCGUGCAAAUGAAAUAAUAGGAGAAAAGAGUUUUACAUCUCCAACUUGAUCUACGGUGCGAUCAGACCAAGUGCGAGAUUGGCAUCGAGGAAUUGCGUAUGAAAGGUUGUCUAUCUGAGACUAUCUAUCUAGUACGAUCGAUCCAGUCAUUCAGUACAGUAUCUUCGCUAGGUGUUGAUGGAAUUAUUAUAGCAGGUCGGUCUAGGUAGUUGAUAUUGCUCCUGAGAACUUCGUUGUUUCGAGUUUGUGCCCCAUGCUUUCUUUCGUUGGAAAAACCAAUAACCAAUCCAUUUCAAUUCGAAUUCUUCACUACUCAUACAGGCUUAACUCCGUUAAGCUGUCUGGAGGGAAUCCUUUUUUCUCAAUCAAGCAUGCCUCAACUGGAUAAAUUCACUUAUUUUACACAAUUUUUUUGGUUAUGUCUUUUCUUCUUUACUUUCUAUAUUUUGGUUUUCGUAUCAUGGAUCUUGGUUCGCGCUUUAAGGCAGUUCCCCAUUUAUGUAAUCAACCACAUGCUAAAUCUAAAUGCUUCUCAGGCGCCCGCUUCUUCCUCAUCUUCUUCAAAUUCUAAUAAUAACAGAAAGGAUAAAAGAAAAGAGAAGGAGGAUUGUUUACGCAAUCUUGUAUUUCAAGAAGUGGACGCGUAUUUAACAAAAUAAAAAAAAAAAUAGAAUUGCCGAGUUCCCCGGAGCUCACCCUUAUAUAGAAACACCCAGUUUCUUAAAUAAGGUAGCCUCUGAACUUCUCCGGGAUGCCGGAUUGAUACCCGCCCCUAAAAUGAACUUGCUUGAUUCGGUCCACAAAAAUUUACUACAGGCUUUCAACCUAGUCAAAAAAGAAGGAGAUAUAAAUAAUGAAAUCUACGAUUGUAUAAGAUGUCUUCUAAAAGAUUAUCGUUGACCCAGAAUUCCAAUUCCGUUUUGAGUUUGUUACUUAACUUGUAGUAAUUCUGUUUUUAUACGAGACCCGCCGGGUCGAUUUUGGGCGCUUGAAAUCAAAAAAUGAGGUUUGGUUUGUUUGAGUUUUGGUUUGUUUGAGUAAGGGAAACUUUGGCAGCAAGCUAAAAGUAAAGUAGUUGGAGCCAAAGGUGACAACGAGGCCCCCCAAGCCCAAGGCAAGGGGGGGGAAAGAAGAGUGGGUAUGCGGGCUUCUUUCGCUUGACUUUUUUUGCACUAGGUCACAACGAUCUCAAAAAAAGUGAAAGAAAAAUGAUAGGAUGUGCUCCGAAGGCCAGAGUUCGCAGAGUCGGGUAGUUCCGCUCAUUUAUUUCCGUUCGAGAUCCAUCGUCCUCGGGAGAGAGAGAAAGUAAUCGGCAGGGAGGCAUUACUCCCACCCGGAAAACGUGCAACCAACCUUUCCUCUCCUGCGCGGGCUCGGGGCUUCUAAUCAAAUAUUUCUAUUUUUCCUUUGAAUUACUCAUAUAUAUAUCCUAUGAAUUUCAUUUCGCACCGGAAACUCUUCUAGGAGAAGUUCGAAUCCGUUCCGUUCGGAUAUUGAUCGGUCUUGGUUUGACAUGGUUUACGUGUUACUGGUUCCCGGAAGAGUUAAUAUCUCCAUUAACUAAACCCUUUCUUACCCUGCCUUUGGACUCGUAUUUUGUUCGUACACAAUUAACGGAGGCCCCCCCGACAUAUGUUGCAACGUCUUCAAUAGCAUGCUCUUACUUCGUCUUUCCUUUAAUAAGUUAUCAAAUUUGGUGCUUUUUGAUCCUAGUUGCUAUGGGGAACAAAGGGCGAAAUACAAUCGAUUCCUCCAUUUAAGUGGUUCUCGCUUUUCCUUCUUCCUGUUCCUAACUCCUCCCGGGUAGUUCCCAAUGUUUGGCACUUUCCAUACUUCGUGGGUGCAACAUCAACAAAUUCGCUCAUGAUCAAGUUACAACCUAAGAUCUAUGACUAUAUUAUGUUAACUGUUCGUAUUUCGUUCAUUCCAUCGGUAUGCUCUCAGGUACCUGUAAUUGUGAUCUGUUUGCCAGAACCAAGGGGUCUUUCCGUGGAAACCUCCACAAACAAUCGUCGUUUUUUGAUGGUUUUUCCGCUUCUCACAGCUGCUCUUUCCACACCUCCGGAUAUCUGGUGCCAAAUCGUCGCCCGUUUCCUUAUUUAUUUGAUAAUAGAGUUGGCUAUCUUUGUGGCAUCAAUUGUACAAGUUCUUGAAGAAGGCUGGACGAGUGGAAUGAGGGAGAGCGGCUCGAUCGAAAAAAAAAAAAAAGAAGAGUAGCCCCCCUAGAACCUGGCAAACUAACUAUCAAUGAAUUCCCGAGCAAUUCUCAACCAACAUAUGCGAUUCAUUCCCGUAAAGAUUAUAACACAGAGAAGACUCCUUACCUUAGGAGCGGGAUAAGUGAUACAUCCGGCGAGCGCCGGUGAAGAACGCAAGCAAAGCUGGCAUUGUUAUAUUCCAAAAAGAGAAAGGAGGCAGACUGGUAAGAAGGCCGACCGCAUAGAGGGAGCGAACCGAAAAGCUCAGCUUUGCGGAGCGGACCAAUCUUCCGUACCGCCCCCUUACUCUCUCUCUAUAAAAAAAGCCUGCGGGAAGCGCGAAGAGCUAAGCCACUAAUGUCGUGGCGAAGGUUAUACCUCCGAAAGUCAGCGAAGCUAAGGUUUCGUAUGUGUUAUAUCCUUUCGAUCGAGCGACAACUUCUAAGGAAGGCCUUCAUUCCCCUUUGAAAAAAGUAAAAUAAAAAAAAAAAGAGCGCUGGAGAGAGAGAGGGUUGCAGAAGUGCUUCUAGAUCUCAUGGAAUAAGGCAGAAUUUAAAACAACACUUUCCAUCUCUUGCUUUCAUAGAAAAAAAAAUAGAAUUUAGGAGAUGAAAUCCUGAUUACAUUACCGCGGGCCAAAAUGGAAUUUUGAAGAGCAAGCCAGAGAAAAGAAGCGUUGAGAUAAUAUACCUUUCAUCCUAAUCUCAUCUACUGAAAAAAGGGGGCCCUCUUGAUCACCUGAAGAGAUUUUUAGGCAGAAUUGGCAUAAUUAUUACCAUGAGGAUUGAGCUGCCAAAAGAGAUUUUCCUCCGUUUGUUUUUUGGGGCUAGAAGAUAUGUUUGAAUUUCUUAUUAAAAAAAAAAAAAGAAAAGGCUCCCUAUUUAACUGCCCAUCCAAGAGCAUUUAGCUUCAUAAUACUUCUUUUUUUUCUUUUUUUUUUUUUUCUAUAGACUGCAUAAAUCUUAUCUUCUAGCCCCAAAAAAACAAACGGAGGAAAAUCUCUUUUGGCAGCUCAAUCCUCAUGGUAAUAAUUAUGCCAAUUCUGCCUAAAAAUCUCUUCAGGUGAUCAAGAGGGCCCCUUUUUCAGUAGAUGAGAUUAGGAUGAAAGGUAUAUUAUCUCAACGCUUCUUUUCUCUGGCUUGCUCUUCAAAAUUCCAUUUUGGCCCGCGGUAAUGUAAUCAGGAUUUCAUCUCCUAAAUUCUAUUUUUUUUUCUAUGAAAGCAAGAGAUGGAAAGUGUUGUUUUAAAUUCUGCCUUAUUCCAUGAGAUCUAGAAGCACUUCUGCAACCCUCUCUCUCUCCAGCGCUCUUUUUUUUUUAUUUUACUUUUUUCAAAGGGGAAUGAAGGCCUUCCUUAGAAGUUGUCGCUCGAUCGAAAGGAUAUAACACAUACGAAACCUUAGCUUCGCUGACUUUCGGAGGUAUAACCUUCGCCACGACAUUAGUGGCUUAGCUCUUCGCGCUUCCCGCAGGCUUUUUUUAUAGAGAGAGAGUAAGGGGGCGGUACGGAAGAUUGGUCCGCUCCGCAAAGCUGAGCUUUUCGGUUCGCUCCCUCUAUGCGGUCGGCCUUCUUACCAGUCUGCCUCCUUUCUCUUUUGGAAUAUAACAAUGCCAGCUUUGCUUGCGUUCUUCACCGGCGCUCGCCGGAUGUAUCACUUAUCCCGCUCCUAAGGUAAGGAGUCUUCUCUGUGUUAUAAUCUUUACGGGAAUGAAUCGCAUAUGUUGGUUGAGAAUUGCUCGGGAAUUCAUUGAUAGUUAGUUUGCCAGGUUCUAGGGGGGCUACUCUUCUUUUUUUUUUUUUUCGAUCGAGCCGCUCUCCCUCAUUCCACUCGUCCAGCCUUCUUCAAGAACUUGUACAAUUGAUGCCACAAAGAUAGCCAACUCUAUUAUCAAAUAAAUAAGGAAACGGGCGACGAUUUGGCACCAGAUAUCCGGAGGUGUGGAAAGAGCAGCUGUGAGAAGCGGAAAAACCAUCAAAAAACGACGAUUGUUUGUGGAGGUUUCCACGGAAAGACCCCUUGGUUCUGGCAAACAGAUCACAAUUACAGGUACCUGAGAGCAUACCGAUGGAAUGAACGAAAUACGAACAGUUAACAUAAUAUAGUCAUAGAUCUUAGGUUGUAACUUGAUCAUGAGCGAAUUUGUUGAUGUUGCACCCACGAAGUAUGGAAAGUGCCAAACAUUGGGAACUACCCGGGGAGGAGUUAGGAACAGGAAGAAGGAAAAGCGAGAACCACUUAAAUGGAGGAAUCGAUUGUAUUUCGCCCUUUGUUCCCCAUAGCAACUAGGGAUCAAAAAGCACCAAAUUUGAUAACUUAUUAAAGGAAAGACGAAGUAAGAGCAUGCUAUUGAAGACGUUGCAACAUAUGUCGGGGGGCCUCCGUUAAUUGUGUACGAACAAAAUACGAGUCCAAAGGCAGGGUAAGAAAGGGUUUAGUUAAUGGAGAUAUUAACUCUUCCGGGAACCAGUAACACGUAAACCAUGUCAAACCAAGACCGAUCAAUAUCCGAACGGAACGGAUUCGAACUUCUCCUAGAAGAGUUUCCGGUGCGAAAUGAAAUUCAUAGGAUAUAUAUAUGAGUAAUUCAAAGGAAAAAUAGAAAUAUUUGAUUAGAAGCCCCGAGCCCGCGCAGGAGAGGAAAGGUUGGUUGCACGUUUUCCGGGUGGGAGUAAUGCCUCCCUGCCGAUUACUUUCUCUCUCUCCCGAGGACGAUGGAUCUCGAACGGAAAUAAAUGAGCGGAACUACCCGACUCUGCGAACUCUGGCCUUCGGAGCACAUCCUAUCAUUUUUCUUUCACUUUUUUUGAGAUCGUUGUGACCUAGUGCAAAAAAGUCAAGCGAAAGAAGCCCGCAUACCCACUCUUCUUUCCCCCCCCUUGCCUUGGGCUUGGGGGCCUCGUUGUCACCUUUGGCUCCAACUACUUUACUUUUAGCUUGCUGCCAAAGUUUCCCUUACUCAAACAAACCAAAACUCAAACAAACCAAACCUCAUUUUUUGAUUUCAAGCGCCCAAAAUCGACCCGGCGGGUCUCGUAUAAAAACAGAAUUACUACAAGUUAAGUAACAAACUCAAAACGGAAUUGGAAUUCUGGGUCAACGAUAAUCUUUUAGAAGACAUCUUAUACAAUCGUAGAUUUCAUUAUUUAUAUCUCCUUCUUUUUUGACUAGGUUGAAAGCCUGUAGUAAAUUUUUGUGGACCGAAUCAAGCAAGUUCAUUUUAGGGGCGGGUAUCAAUCCGGCAUCCCGGAGAAGUUCAGAGGCUACCUUAUUUAAGAAACUGGGUGUUUCUAUAUAAGGGUGAGCUCCGGGGAACUCGGCAAUUCUAUUUUUUUUUUAUUUUGUUAAAUACGCGUCCACUUCUUGAAAUACAAGAUUGCGUAAACAAUCCUCCUUCUCUUUUCUUUUAUCCUUUCUGUUAUUAUUAGAAUUUGAAGAAGAUGAGGAAGAAGCGGGCGCCUGAGAAGCAUUUAGAUUUAGCAUGUGGUUGAUUACAUAAAUGGGGAACUGCCUUAAAGCGCGAACCAAGAUCCAUGAUACGAAAACCAAAAUAUAGAAAGUAAAGAAGAAAAGACAUAACCAAAAAAAUUGUGUAAAAUAAGUGAAUUUAUCCAGUUGAGGCAUGCUUGAUUGAGAAAAAAGGAUUCCCUCCAGACAGCUUAACGGAGUUAAGCCUGUAUGAGUAGUGAAGAAUUCGAAUUGAAAUGGAUUGGUUAUUGGUUUUUCCAACGAAAGAAAGCAUGGGGCACAAACUCGAAACAACGAAGUUCUCAGGAGCAAUAUCAACUACCUAGACCGACCUGCUAUAAUAAUUCCAUCAACACCUAGCGAAGAUACUGUACUGAAUGACUGGAUCGAUCGUACUAGAUAGAUAGUCUCAGAUAGACAACCUUUCAUACGCAAUUCCUCGAUGCCAAUCUCGCACUUGGUCUGAUCGCACCGUAGAUCAAGUUGGAGAUGUAAAACUCUUUUCUCCUAUUAUUUCAUUUGCACGAGAUAAGGCAAAAAGCCAAAGCAAAGGGAAAGGGGAGAAGACAGAGCUCCCGAAGCCCACAAAAGCGUAGGGGAGAGUGAGACUAGUAGGGCGAUGGAGUGAGCCCCUUACCCAAGAUGGGAGGUUCCCGUCGAGACUAAGCCCUAACUAAGUGAGCGCAACAGUUUAGACUCAACCAUAAUAUGUAAUUAUGGGAUGCUGCGGGAGUGCACGGUGUCCGGGUAGACGAACCGACGGGACGUAGCCAUUGGCCCUUCCUGUAGAGGAUUGCCUUUUCUCAAGAUGAGACAGUUGGGAUGGAACUUGAACGGGGUUCAUUUGCAAAAGUUGGAGAAUCCAACCUGCUGCUGUGGGAAUAGUGCCUCACGUCGACUUUUUGCCGUUGAAUCCCGAAGAAAGAAUAAAAUAGAAAAAAUUCCUUUUAAGGAAAGAAUCCAUAGGAGAAGAUAGCCACACCGACGCACAGAGAAUAGGGGGUGGAGACGAAGAAGGGCAGAAACUUACAUACUUCUUUCCAGCUCUUCUAGUUAGCGCGUAGUGGGAAUAGCCCCUUCCAUUGCCUGAAAGCCAAUAAAGAGUGCCUCACGUUCCACUGAACGCUGGGGAAGGAAGUGACAUAGUUUUUUUUACGAGGGGUAUGCUUUAUCUAUCUUAUUGGCUUAAGCAUCCUAUUAUUCUUUUAUCCCAUUAUAAGAAGAUUUUCCGGCCCUCAUUACGUCUUCUUUCUUUUUUUGAUUACCUUCCUCGCGUAUGUAUAAGAUAAGAUCGAACCCAUUCGAUUUCUAAAAAGGAUUACUCAUCCUUAACUUUUCGAGGAAUCCUUUAUCAGUGGUUGUGAAUGACCUAUUUUUCUCAAUCUUUUCGACCUUGGUUCCGUAGGAGCAAGUCAGAAAGAUUGAGAAAUAGAACCAUCUGAUUUGAUUCGUUCUCAAUAGCCAUGAGAUGCUCAUCUUAGGGUGAUCCUUUUGUCGACGGAUGCUCCUAUUACACUCGUAGUCUCUGAAGGAUGAGAACCAGAACCAACUAUGUAGCAUCUACCUGGCGUUUGGAAGCACUAGAAUUAGUGGGCUCUGGGGCCUAACUUAGUGGUUGUCCCUCUUCCAUUCUUCGAACCUGGUCGUUAGAAUGGCGGCGGCAUCCCGCGCGGAGGCGGGCCUUCCAUCGGGUUGGGAAAGUUGUCGGAUAAAGAUCCGAAUUUGCUCCAGCUCCGGCUCGGAAGCCGUCUGGAGCCCUAGUUCUUCCCCAACCCUAUCUGUGAAGUCCCUGGAAGAACUCCGAACCCCAAAAGAGGAUAGAAAGUAACCCACUUCAAAUUGGGUCCUGCGCCUACGGUCAUUCCCAAAAAUGGAAUCCAAUGGGUCAUCCCUCCCUAGCCAUUCCUCAUGCUGAACAGGGGAGGGAUUUGAAUUUGAGGCCCCUGCUGUGGCGCUGGCCCUUCAACCGACUGUUCCCUCUCAAAAAGGUUAUUUUCCUCUAAGGAGGGGAGUGAAGGUACAGAGGGGAUUGAAGGAUCGGUUGGUAUAGGUGUAAAAGAGGAGGGAAUUGAGGGAAAAGACCCCAGAGGAGAGUCCGCGGGGCCACAUUAGAAGGGCCGGCUUCAUGCCCUUCCGGAGGUUGGUUUACGCCGGCUUCCGCCCCAGUAGGCGAAACCCGCAUUUCAAAGAAAGACGCGGAUUCGCUACUUAGAAAUGCUUUUAAACCCAAGGGCGAAGGUCAGACCCCCACCAAAGCCCAGUUUUAUGCAUAACUGGCAAAGGACGCGCACCCAAAAAUGGAGUCCUACUUUGGAGAGAAGCCAAACGAAAUACGAUCCAAUUUCAAGUGUUUCACAAAGCCAAUAAAAAAACAAAACCAGAGUGAUGAACAAUAGAGAAAUUCUCAAACCCAUGGAACCAAACCCGCGUAAGAUCAAAAAAACUAGCAGACUAAUCACUAAAUAGAUACAAAUAGGUGCAAAUUCUAACAUCACCACAGCCCACUUUAUUCUCUCGCUCCUUGCUUGCUCGCGGAGCGGCAUACCGGAAAAAAAAUGAAGAAGAAAAAAAACGAUCAAUCUCAUCUCAUAGUGCUAGGAUGAAGAAAGGAAGGAAGAGGUAAUCUUUCUACGCUACGAUCUUUCUUCUCUUAUGAUAUUGUUGUUUUGUUGUAAACCUGAAUUGAAUGGGUUAUAAUUAGAUAAUUAAUAGGCUGACUUCCAUUUCGUUUCGAUCUUCCACCUUAACCCUAGUACACGGGCGCCCAAACGGAGCUUGAAAGCACUGUGGGCGAAGGGUUCUCAACCAAUCUCGCACUUGACACGCAAAGCAAUAAACAGCAGUCUAUCUUCACAGAGAAAGAGAAGGAUCUUCGGCAAAGGGUUCCCGGCUUCGCGAGAACUUUUCGAUCUGCUCUAGGCUAAGCUCAAUGGGGCCUUGCUUUGCUUUGUUGAUGCCAAGCUCUUAGUCUGAUUCAGAUAAACUGUGAACCAAGACAUGAAAAAGAACGAACUCAAAACGAAUUCUUGAAUAUUAGAUCUUCUACCCGCGGUGCGGUAAACGGAACACAAACAGAAUCUUCACUUCAAGUUCAGAUAGCAAGACAGUGAACAAUUAUCAGUGUGACCUACAAUUACAUUCCCUGACGUGGGCUAGUCCCGAUCAAGAAAAAUGGGGAUUUCGUCCCAAAGGCUGCCAAAGACCGACUACAAACUAUACGCUACGGACGAAGGUCCACCAAAAGAAGAAUUGACAAGAAUUCGGGUGGGGUCUCUUUCCUUAUUCCUUAUCUUAUAUCUUAUGUUAUUUCGAGUUGUUACUGGCCUUAGCUAAUGCACUGGUUGAGAUUAUAGUGGUGGUGAAGUCAGUUAAGAAUAUUCAUCCUAGACUCUAAUAAACAUCGAAUGGGAUUUCUGGGCAGAAUGCGCUCUUAGAAAUUGAAUCAUCCUAGGCUGUUGGAGAAGGGCUUGUUUGCUAUGAAAUAGAAUCGGUUGUUAACGGCUCGAGUAACCGAUAUGAUAGACAGAAGCAAGGGAGGACCCGGAGUUUUUUACAGCAAGUGCCAUUUAUCCUAUUGGAAGUGUAGCAGGAGUAACAAUUCCUAUUGACCCAGUUUAAGUACUCAGCACUAGCGAAAGGGAUGGACAAGAAAGCUAGGGGGAGAGUGGCAGCAUAGAGCUUUUCUUUUGAUAUGUUUGUAUAGGGUUGGGCUAACGAUCUUUCCCAAGAGUGUCCUAAUAUAGAAUCUAGUAAGAAGACUAGGCCUCUUAGUUAUCCCCAUAGGAUAAGAUAAAACCUAGCAGUUAUUCCAAUAAAAGACUAGCAGUUAGCGAGCCAGCUAGAUAGAUAAAUGGCAAAAGCAAAGAAGCUUUCAAGCUUUCAGUUUCAAAUCGGAUAAAGCGAUAAGACAGGCACAGAGAAGCUCCAGGAGUUCCAUUGCCCAGUUUCUUUUACAUCAGUCCCGCGGUGACAGCGAUUUCCUAUUUCCUUAUAGGAAGUUUCCGUUCCAUUCCCUUUUAUGGCAUCGCCUUCAACCAGACUCUCUCUUAGUAAACAAUAUAACCAGAAAAAAGCAGCAUAAACAAGAAAAACAGGACCUCCCUCCAAGGUUCCAAUCUCGGACUUUCUUCACAUCUUACAGAGCAGGAAGAUAAGAAUCCUAUUGAAAAGAGAUAGACUCGAGAAGAGUAUACCAGUACAUCCUUCAAGCUAAUAAAUUGAUGCGAACACAGUUGAUGCAGAUUCUUUUUCCCUUUUCCCAUAGGAUGAGCGAUAGGAAGAUUUAGUUCUUACGCUGAAUGCCAAAUAAAAAUAAAUGGAACCAAAGCAAAACGAAUAUUCUCUACAUACCGGGGAAAUUUAGAACAUGAUCUAGAGCUUGUACAAAGUAGGGCUCUGUAUACCCUGGUUGACAAGGUCUAAAUAUCUCUAUUGCGAAUUAGCCUUUCUCUACUUACAUCAACCCGUGAAGCUAGCAUUAAAGCUAACUAUACAUUACAUAGAGAAUCCAACCUCCAUCAACAUGGAGGGUUGAGUGGAGUCCUUUUUCUUGACCUUGUGAUCGGGCCUCAAGAUCCGAUCCAUUUAAAUGUGGUAGAUAUCGAGGCAUCGUUCACUUUCCUAUUUGGAAGACUUUGCCCCAUUCAGCAGGCCCUUCCCACCGACUUGUUACCGUCCUAUCAAGGCCCUCUCUCUCUUACUCUUAGAGGCCUACUUUUCCACGUGCGAUCCUUGCCUUCUUUGCUUUGUAGCUUUAAGUGCGCUCCAAAGCCAUGGCUUUGCUCUAUACCAACCUAACCUCCCUUCCUUCUUUUCCCGACUGCCACAAUAUAGGAAAUCCAGAUGCAUAUCUCAGCCAUUUUUUGAAAAUGACCACAUCAGUUCACGUGAUACGGAACUGCAUGUGGUGAUCAAUUGCCCGGCAGAUGUUGAAUCGAAAAUCAAACAUCUAUAACAAAUGUUUAAUCCCUCGUGCAUGAGCGGCACGUGAAGCUGCUUGUUCGGGUGUGGCGAACACUGAACGUUGAUACAGGGCAUAGUUGUCCUGCUCGUCGUUACGAUCCCAAUCACGAUCUGAUAGUGACAUUCACAUAUAAGAAGAUGGAUUCGUUCGCGAAAGAAAGCAAAUGCAAGGGUGAGGCUAAGAUUAAGAGUUUUUUCCAAAUAAUGACGUAGUAGAGCCCCGUGCCUUAGUUUGGCAUAGGGUUAUAAGGAACAAUACGACAGGGCAAUAGUGCUCCUCACCAAACCUAGAGCUUUAAGCGCAUUCUUAAUCAAGCUAGCCUAGCAUAGCGAGACCAAUGCAAUAGCAACUGUUUGAAAGAAUACCGCUCCGUGGGCAUUCGAGUCCGAAGAAGAAUAAGCUGUUUCAAAAGCAUCUAAAUCAAAAAGAGUAGAGCAGCGUCUCGCGGAAAUAAAUUGACCAGAUCGCUGGGAAUUGCACGAUGUCGAGUUCUCUCCUUGUCCACGACUUCUGAUGAACGAACUUGACCAACGUACUCGAGCUUUGAAUCGAUACCCCGCCUACCUCCCUUCUCGUGUUAACACACUCACGAAUGAAAUAUCAAAUAUGUAUACUUACUCCUUACUACUACUUGAACCUUACCUACCCGAGCUAUAAUACAACCAGAUAGCCUAGGACCAUCAAUCGAUAGGCUAAUCCGCUCAAGCAAGAGAAUAUAGAUGAAAGGAAAGAUUAUACACUGCGCAAUUAGACCUAUGUGCUUUGCUUUAUCCUAUAUAAAUAGGAUUCUUUUAGUAGGUAGACCUGGAAAUGGAGAUAAUUCAGUAGUGGGAUUUCCGAGCUUGAAGCAGCAGACAUCACGAGAACUCAACUUUCAAUGUUUGGCGUGGUCUUUGUCUUUGACCUUGCCACCCUUUGUUUCUCUUCAUACAUCGACCAUACACCAUACAAUUGAUCUGAGAAGGGAUGCCUUUAUUUAACUUUCAGAAAGAGUGGCUCGUGCAUCAUCAUCAUCUUUCUCUUAUAUAUGCUAUUUGAAGAUAGUGAUUUGAAUGCCUAUCCCCUGCCUAUGCGCUUGCCUUUACUACCUGCCCUUACCUGCCUGCCUUGAACUACUGCACUUGCGCAUACUUUAUCUUGCUCUAUCUAGAAGAUAGCUUGAACUGCAUUGUGACUACAGAUAUAUAGCCAGAAGUAUUCCCAAGCCGGAGAGGUGGAGAGGAGAGAAAUUCAAUUUACAGGCUUUCUACCAAUGACCGGAGACCAGAAAGGGGAAUAGAGAGAUAAGCCUUGAGCGGUCAGACCAAUUACGAUCGAUUCGCUAAACAUUCAAGAUUCGAGAUGAGCUGCUAAAAAAGGAAGGGCGAUAGAGAGAGUGGAAGGAAGACAGCCUAUAAUGCAUUACCAGAAGGAGAGCUACCAGCACUAAUAGCUAGAGGACCUAGAACUCCAGAACUAGAGUCAGUGAUUGCGCCAUAACAGAGUGCUAGAGGGCCGGAGAGAUAUGAUUAAUGAUAUUCAUAGGGAUUGCGAUUGCACUUAUGCUUGUUGCCAGCCUGAACUUGAAGUGGAUCUCCCUAUCUAUAUUCGACAGCUUGAAGAGGGCUGAUUUCUAAAGAGAAAUUGUCAUUGAAAGCGAUUCCUUCGCUCAAGAACUAGACUCAAGGGAUUGUGCCUACCAGUCAAGACAGGAAGGUGGGACACUAGCUAGCCUCUUGACCGAAGCGCCAACCCCCCUUCUCUAAUGCGCAUAUUGAGACUGAGCUUGCUUUGCAUCUGAUCUAAGCCUAUCGCCUGUCUCCAACUGCCUUUCUAUUGCGCCUGCCGUUAACUCCUGUUUACCUUCCCUUCCUUUCGGAGAGUUCCUUACUCAUAAGUAAUAUACUGAUUAGAUUAAAGGGAGGAGAUAUCUUUCAUAAAAGUAAAUCGCAAUUAUUUAUUGAAUUCAAAGAAGAUUGCGCCAAUGAAAGAGAUAGAAGAGCGGUAUGACAGAGCUCAACAAAGGAAGGAGCUUGCCAAACUAAGCAAGGGCUGCCCUUUUCUUUCUUCCAUCCGCCUAUUAUCUGACUACUGUUUGUUCAACUCAACAACAGCAACUGGUUUGCCUUACUUGGCUGGAAGUACAAGAAGGUGCGUAGUUUGUUAGGAAUUAGGUGUCUUAGAGAUGAGAAGACUGAUUAGUAACCCGGCUUACUCGACCAAGAACUCCAGCUUGGCUCGAAGAUGCCAACAGCAUUCCCUUUACUUACGCAAUAUUUACUCGUUUACUUGUUAGCUAGCGCUACUCCACACCUUUGCUUUGAGGGAAUCUAAGGUUUUGAAAGAACGUAGUAAGUGGUGAACGAAGUUUCCUCGCUCGUUAGAGGAAGUGAACGGUUGGCUCGAAGAGGGAAGAGAUACGCUAGCUACUUGCUUUGUUAGAAAGCUAAGCGACUAGUUUACUGUUGAGAGGUAGCGAAGAGGACAGAUAGGCUAAAGAGAGGUUAGUACUAGUUAGUGUUAGAGAGCUUGCUGGAUGAGAGCAGAGCAGACUGGAUUGAGUUCCACUUCCAUACUCUAGUUUACAUAGGGCGAAUGGCUGGCUUGUUUGUCUAGUCCUACCUCUUCCCCCUAAGCUCUUAGUUCCAUCCAUACACAAACAUCCUCUUCUCUCUAACAAGUAAGCAAGUAAACCACCUUGGUAAAAGUUGUAAGAGACUUUUGAUUUACUUUUCGUUCCGGAUCUCUGUUAUCCUUUGAGUGGUGGCUGGUAGGCGGGGGACCUCUCAAUCCUUACUUAAAGGGGAGAAUAACGGAGAUGGUCAGAAUGCCCCAAAAUCUAUUCGAUUUCCUAUCCUUGGUCAACCCAAGGCUUUUGAGAAGGGGACAUGUGAUCCAUUUGUUCUCCUUUCUAAGCGAUCCAUUGCGUGUCACGUCGUCCCAGUCAAAGAAGGUAAAAAGGAGUAGGCUCAAUAGAAAGUGAACUCNGCUUCCCGCGGCUAUGAAUGCCUUAGAAAGGAAAAACGGAAAUAGUUCCAUUUUGCCAAGAAGCAUAAAGAUGGAAGAAGAUAGAGUGAUAAAGGCAACGAGGAGCAGACACGGGUAGAAUUUUCCACUAUAGAAAACAACGGACCUUAUUUGUCAUAAAAUUGAGAUGAAAACAAUGAAACCUUUUGAAAAACCGCUUUUUCAUCUCUUUUUACUUACCAGUUUUUCAGUCUUUUUCGCCACAUAGGAGCUUUGGGAAUUGAACCCAAGACAGACCCUUGCCCCUUUCUCGUACUUCGUACUUUUUGCUUUUGUUCACAUACGCUUUUUUUGUGGGGCGGUGACUGAAACAUUUCCUUUAUGUUGAUAGAAACAACAAGAGAAAGGCCAGUCACUGAACACCAAGCCAAUCUCGAUGAAAGUCAAAGCAGCCUUCGGACCCUGACGUGAACGGACGCUUUGUCAUUAGAGUGUGUUAAAAAAAACGAGAAAGCUUUUUUCUUUUUUUUGUUUACUCAACCCGUAAAGACAAACAAAAAAGGGAUCCGCCUCGAAUCAAAACGUUCUUUCUUUUCUACGCUUUCUUCUCUUAUGAUAUUUCUAGUUUGAUCGAGGGUUCUCCCAAUAUGAGAUAGGUUGCAGCUAUAGUCAGAACUCUAACUGGGCCAAUUGCGUAAUUAUGACCUGAGGUGAGGGUGCGAUGCCUAUCGAAGAAAGGUUGAAGAAGAAUAAGAAACUCCUGGCGUUUUUCUAUUAAGUAUGCUUCACCGAAUCCGUUAGGGCUGAUGCUGUGAAAGCCUUGGCGAGGAAUAAAAACCUCAAUUCUGCAUAGUGUUGCAUGGCUGAAAGAGUUCGGCGAGUGACCUUGAUAGCUAAGUCACAGAGAUCAUUGAAUUGCUGGAGCGCAGUUUACUAUGCGAGUGAAGAGAUUUAAGCGAGCUAAUAGCGAGUGGACUUUGGCAGGUGUCGGUAAUCUGUAGCGAUGGAGUACCCCAUUACCUUUCUUUUGGUUUUUUUCAUCUACUCUCUUCGUGUAGGGUAAUAGCGGUACGGCAAGA